GCGAGAAAAUCUCGAACAAAACUCUCCUGUCGAUUUUCCUUCCUUGGCCGAGUGGUUUAAUCCACCACUGAGCGAACUCCCCACACCCAGAGCGCCACUAUCGUCCUUGGAUCCCACCACGCGGUGGUCGUCAAGUAUUUUGGGAAGAGGAGCGGCGCCCGGAUCCAUCUAGAUCCCGUCCUCUUACCUCUAAAAUCGGGGAAGCGCUUCUGCCAAGGACGAAACGCUGGCCUCGAGCAGCGAGAAUGCGGG
rnacentral:lncRNA from 1 species